rnacentral:rRNA from 1 species
CCAAGCGGCCUUUUCCGAGGCCUGUCGCCGGAUCUCGGCCGAUCUCGGAAGCCAAGCAGGGUCGGGCCCGGUUGGUGCUUGGAUGGGAGACUGCCUCCUGGUACCGGGUGCUGUAUGCC